rnacentral:rRNA from 1 species
CCUACGGGAGGCAGCAGUGGGGAAUUUUGGACAAUGGGGGCAACCCUGAUCCAGCCAUGCCGCGUGUGUGAAGAAGGCCUUCGGGUUGUAAAGCACUUUCGGACGGAACGAAAUCGCGCGGGUGAAUAUCCCGCGUGGAUGACGGUACUGUAUGAAGAAGCACCGGCUAACUACGUGCCAGCAGCCGCGGUAAUACGUAGGGUGCGAGCGUUAAUCGGAAUUACUGGGCGUAAAGCGUGCGCAGGCGGCUUCGCAAGUCAGACGUGAAAUCCCCGGGCUUAACCUGGGAAUGGCGUUUGAAACUACGGAGCUGGAGUGUGGCAGAGGGAGGUAGAAUUCCACGUGUAGCGGUGAAAUGCGUAGAUAUGUGGAGGAAUACCGAUGGCGAAGGCAGCCUCCUGGGCCAACACUGACGCUCAUGCACGAAAGCGUGGGGAGCAAACAGGAUUAGAUACCCUGGUAGUCCACGCCCUAAACUAUGUCAACUAGUUGUUGGGGGAGUUAAAUCCCUUAGUAACGCAGCUAACGCGUGAAGUUGACCGCCUGGGGAUACGGUCGCAAGAUUAAAACUUAAAGGAAUUGACGG